UACGGAGGGUGCAAGCGUUGUCCGGAAUCACUGGGCGUAAAGGGCGCGUAGGCGGCUCAUGAAGGCUGUGGUGAAAGUCCGGGGCUCAACCUCGGAUCGGCCGUGGCGACUCGUGGGCUGGAGCACUGUAGAGGCGGGUGGAAUUCCGGGUGUAGCGGUGGAAUGCGUAGAGAUCCGGAAGAACACCAGUGGCGAAGGCGGCCCGCUGGGCAGUGGCUGACGCUGAGGCGCGACAGCGUGGGGAGCAGACAGG
rnacentral:rRNA from 1 species